AAAUUGAAGAGUUUGAUCAUGGCUCAGAUUGAACGCUGGCGGCAGGCCUAACACAUGCAAGUCGAACGGUAACAGGAAGAAGCUUGCUUCUUUGCUGACGAGUGGCGGACGGGUGAGUAAUGUCUGGGAAGCUGCCUGAUGGAGGGGGAUAACUACUGGAAACGGUAGCUAAUACCGCAUAACGUCGCAAGACCAAAGAGGGGGACCUUCGGGCCUCUUGCCAUCGGAUGUGCCCAGAUGGGAUUAGCUAGUAGGUGGGGUAACGGCUCACCUAGGCGACGAUCCCUAGCUGGUCUGAGAGGAUGACCAGCCACACUGGAACUGAGACACGGUCCAGACUCCUACGGGAGGCAGCAGUGGGGAAUAUUGCACAAUGGGCGCAAGCCUGAUGCAGCCAUGCCGCGUGUAUGAAGAAGGCCUUCGGGUUGUAAAGUACUUUCAGCGGGGAGGAAGGGAGUAAAGUUAAUACCUUUGCUCAUUGACGUUACCCGCAGAAGAAGCA
rnacentral:rRNA from 1 species